rnacentral:lncRNA from 10 species
ACCCUGUCCUCGCCCGCCACUCACCGGCGCCAGGGGAACGCAGGAGCGUGAGCCCCUUCGCGCCCCCAGCGCCGUCGGCGUCGCUGCCCCAGACACAGACACUGCCUCGAGAGGCCUCACAGAGGCGGGGGCAGAAGGCGGCGACCCAGAGCCGCCACAUCCCCCGCCUUGGGCGCCGUCACAGUCCCCAGACGCCCUGGACUCCUGCAGUCUACGAAGACGCGCGGGGGACGGCGUGGUUCCGAGAGAGGGCGCCAAAGGCGACGUGCCGGCCGCCAGCUCCAGGCCGAGCCCCGAGCGCCUGCAGGAACACGCCCCUUCACCCGGCGCGGGACGCAGAGCUGCGAGAGAAUCUUGUUCAGCGCGGACUCAACGCCAGGGCGCCGCCUAGAGGUUGGUCUCUGUCUCGGCCUCACCCGCCGGGAGACCACAGAGCUGCUUCCCCAGCCGCCCGCCGCCAGAAAUUGGAAAAAAAAAAAAAAAAAAAAAAAAAAUCCAGCUGGGGUCUAGGAACUCGGCUUCUGGCACCUCUGAAUUCUCCGAGACUGUCUCCUCCCUCCCCGCCUGUAAUGAACCCUGUGAAGGGAGACAGGCCAGGAAGUCCCAGAAAUAUUUAUUCUUGUGACUCUCACAAAAUGGAAAAGGGUCUCAAUUUUUGUUUCUUUAAGGAACUUGUGUUCUGCGUCUGUGUCUACACUGCCUCCUCUCACCAACCAAAUUGUCUAGCCCCCCUCCAGUUACGCUAGAACUCUGCUUUAUCUUCAAGGAAGAAAGGGAGUGGGGAGAAGUUACCUCUAAACCCUCCAGCAUGGCCAUCAAUUUUCUGAAUAAUUUGGAGGUCAACAUGCUUUUGGAAAAGUGUUUGGAAAACGUUUGGGGGUGAAAAGAAAUGUUGCCUAACUGGCCUUUACUCACGGAGUGACCAUCAUCUCAGCUAGUUAGUGUAUGAGCGGCACCAGCACCCCGGCCAUGGGUGUCUGUGCUGAGCCUCUGAAAGUUGACUUAUCCUUUGGGGAGCCCUCGGAAAGACACAGCUGGUAUCUAUGGGAAUGGCUUUGGGGUGUCCUUUGGCACCAUACAGAUAAUUUUGUUUUUUUAAUUGGAAUCCAUGGCCUGGGUUCUUGGGAUGGGGGUAGGGGGAAGCCACAAAGCCCCUGGAAAUGUAUGCAAAACAUAUGGGUGUGCAGGUGCAUCAUCCUAAGGCUAUGGCCUCUUCAGUUUUUCCAAAGAGUCUAAGACUAUAAAAGGUUUCCAUCUCCUUUUCUCAGCCAGGGAGCCACAGAGACCCAGGCCAGCAGUAGGCUGGGAGCCAGCACACCGGCCCCCACCAGGUGCCCGGUAGGGGAUGGGUAAUAACACUCUUGAAUGGUCUGGAAACUGCUGGCCCCUCAGUCCUGCCGUCCUCCCAGAGGGAAAUCCUAAUAGAAGAAGUGACAGCCAGUAGCUGCCAUCUCAGUAUUUUGAAUGAAAAUAUAACAUGAUAAAGAGCAAAUGAGGGAGGCUGGAGGGGCCUCCCCAUGCAAAUACUGGAAUAUGAAUGUUGGCCAGAAAUAAGAUACUUCCUGCCCUCCAGCUGUUAAAGAGCUCCCCAAUUCCUCCCUUUUGGUGCUAGGAAGGGGCCAGAGGGCACUGCCCCCAGACCACCACCCACCUCUGGAGAGCUGGGGCCGAGUGGGACUGCCUGCAGCAGAGUUAACCCUUCAGAAAAUUCAAAACCUAUACUGCCUAGUAUUUUCCCUGCCCGUUUAUUUUUUAAUCAGAUUUUUAAAAUAUCCAGCAGCACUUUGGUGCCUUUUCUUGGGGUUGGGGAGUGGGGUUAUCUAUGUGUGUAUCUAUGGGAAGGUGGGUGCCUUCAGUGCACUAAACCCCCUCUUGGGCCUGCAGCUGGACCUCACUCCUGUACCUGAACACUCUGCCUGAGCCUGAGCUAAUCUUAGCCAUCCAUUGUGUCUCAAAACUGUUUUGGAGGUGAAUAACUGUGAGGCAGGAUGGAGAACCUUUUGCUCUCCCAUCCAGAAGGGCACCUAACCAGGCCCCUGGAGCAGACAAAAGGAGCAGGAAGUCAAUCACUUCGAUCCCAGUUCUCUGAAGCCCAAGAAGAAAACGGAUUUUCCUUCGUUUUGGUUCGGAGGCCUAGUAGAGAAUUUGGAUUCCACCAAGUUCUCUUUUUUCAAAAAAAGUAAACGGUCCAGAGCAGACAAAAACUGUGGAAACUUGAGGCCUGGGUAGUAGUGGUUUUGUUUGAUUUUGAGGCUUUAAAGAGAUAAGGAGACGGUGGUGGAGCUCCGCCACGCCGCGUGGCUCUCACUUCCACGCCGAGGAAGACCGACCGGCCCCUAGGUUUAUCCUCUGGGAGCCCCCGGCCCAAUCAGCCCCCUUCAGGCCUUGGGAGUCACCCCGAGUCUUAUCUUCUGUCCCCUUCCAGCAAGUACCCGGCAAUAAACGGGCAGGGCUGGGCAAAGGUCUGGCCGCUAGAAACGGAAAAGGAAAGAGAAAAGUAAAGUUAAACAAAAAACAAAAACAAAAAACCCUUGGGUCGGGCGCGGUGGCUUACGCCUGUAAUCCCAGCACUUUGGGAGGCCGAGGAGGGUGGAUCACGAGGUCAGGAGUUCAAGAUCAGCUUGGCCAAUAUUGUGAAACCCCGUCUCUACUAAAAAUACAAAAAUUAGCCGGGCGUGGUGGCGGGCGCCUGUAGUUCCAGCUACUCGGGAGGCUGAGGCAGGAGAAUCGCUUGAACCGGGAGGCGGAGGUUGCAGUGAGCCGAGAUCGCGCCACUGCACUCCAGCCUGGGUGACACAGCAGGACUCUGUCAAAAAAAAAGAAAAAAGAAAAAACCCGCUUUCAGCGGAAAGAUGCAAAAAAUGGAGGCCACCGGGCGUGGUUGGGAGAGCCUGGGCUUUCGCAAGGAAGCGCCAGGGAGCCCAGUUCUGCUCUAGCGAGAAGCAGGGAGCCUCAUCCCAAGCCCGGCGGGCCGAGCCGAUCAUAGGGUCUGCGCGGGGCUCUGUGGAUUUUCCGUGUAGGCGGCGGCUUCCAGUCUCUGCCGGGCGCGGGCUGGGUCAGCGCCGACUCCUCCGAGAGAAGAGCGCGCCUGGCGGCCGGUUCGGCGGAGGCCAAGUCCCGGGGGCUGGGGCUGCUUCUCUCCACGCGGACAAAGUGUGCGGGCAAAGAAAGGGGCCGAGGCGGGUGCUUCUGCCGCUCGUAAAUUUGUUUCCCCUUCCUUUUAAUCCGCCCCCGGACGUCUUUCUUUUCAGGACAGGAGGGGAUGUAAACCGUUUGAAGUUCAUCAACACGGUGAAGUUUUAUUGUAUUUCCGGUCCCCAAGAUUUAUACCCGGGAGGGGGAGCGGGCGGCCAGGUGGACUCCCUCGCUACCUCGGACUUCCCUGCCGGACACGUGGCCACUCGGACCCUCGCUUCUGGGCGAGGGCGGGAGGGAGCCUGGACUGGGCCGCGGCCGCUGGCUCCGCACCUUCCGACGGCCGCGCACUGCCGGCACCGCCGCCGCCCAGGUAAGUCCGCCGCCGCCCUCGGCCUGCACAGCUGCGUUUUUGCGAUGGGUGCGGGUGUGAGCGUGAGCACCUGUGAGCAGGCGGGUGUCUGGAGAGGCAGAGGUGAGGAGCGGGCACGUUAGGGGGCCAAGGACCCAGACCGAAGGUCAGGAAGGAGGAAGCAAAUUUGUUCUCUGUGUCCCAAUCCCAGUCCUUAGCCUCUCAGUCCUUAUUCUGCGAAGAUUCGGAAUGAAUUGUCUUACCUGGGGCAGCUCGGCCUCUGCAGAGCCAGGGCCCUGGGACAUUUUGGGCAGGGUGCCUUCACAGCAACUGUUCAGAUCAACCGGCUUUCCCCUCCAAAUCCCAUUCUUCCUCUGUUUGUUCCCUAGAAUUCCCGAAACUUUCUGACACUCUGCUUUUCCACCUUUCUCUCUGUCACUUUCUUUCUCAGCACUCUUUUGUCUCACUCUCCUGUCUGAGCCCCAAUCUCAAAGCUGGGGGGUGUGUAGGACUUGAAGAUCUGGCCUCUCAGAGCUACACUGGGAGGCUGGGUGACCUGGAAUACAGGGGCUAGCAGGGUGCUGAGUAUAGAUGCACCUUCGUAUCUGUUUGAAGUUGAGAAUUCUUUUUAUCUGUGGAGACCUCCAGCUGGGCUGAGAGGCAGAGACUGAGCAGGUAUAUCAAAGAGGCCCUGCCCAGGCUUGUGCCUGUGUCUAGGGUCUUCUUCUCUGGCCAGGGCUCCUGGAAGGCAGCAAAUGUCUCUGGAAUCUGAGCUAUCAGGACCGGCUCCAAAAUGGUUUUACCUAGAGUCCUGGGUUCAGUUCUUCCGAUGUGUUGUUUAGUAGCAACUGGGUUCUUCUGUUGGGGAAGAGGUGGAGCAAAAUGAAGUUAAGCCGCUUUUUGGCCCACAAAAAAAUGGCCACAGGGUUUGCCCCCAGUGAGCUCUUGACCUAGAGCUUGAAUUGGAACUGCUGAGUGAAUUAGGUAGUUUCAUGUUGUUGGGCCUGGGUUUCUGAACACAACAACAUUAAACCACCCGAUUCACGGCAGUUACUGCUCCUUGCUUAGCUGGAGGAGUUGGGGGAGGGGAGCAGAAUCAGGACUGGAAGAUCAACCUUGCAAAAUGGGGAAGAGGUUUGAGGUCCUUCAUCCAGGAGCAACAAGGAUGUUCCCCCAGAGAAGAGAUCUGGGAAGUGUCUUCCCACUUCUGAAUGUUUUUUUGUGUGUGUGUUAGGAGGGGAAGGGGGAUGAGGAGCAGUCAACUCUCCCGAGGCACCUCCCUGGCCCUGUUGGGCUGUUCAGCCCAACCCAAAGAUGGCAGUCAGAGCUCCAACUUCCAGCCUUAGGGUCUCUGAGCUCUCAACUACAUCCAGAACUUUCCAGAGAAACUCUCCCCAACUUCACAAAUAUUUGAUUUCAAAAGAAAUGCAGGGGGUUCUUGAGGUUUUUGUAACUCUUUGCGGGCUGGUGCUCCACCUCAGCAGGAAGCUUCAGGUCCUUGAAGAGGGCUCAGUAGGUCUCAUUCUGAAAGGCAAACACUGAGAGCUCUUGCAAUCUCAGCCUAAAGCCCUCAGGGUCCUGUCGAAGGCCCCCUAUGGGACCAGACCUACAGAAGUAGGUCCGAAAAGUCCUUCCUUUCCUAAUCCCUCAGUUGACUUUUUCCUCCCCACCCACCCCAGUGGCCAAAGGCUUCCCACUGGCCUUGGGCUGGGCUGGGGGUACACAUAGGUCCUGAGUGCCACCUCCUUGGAGAGGGGCCUGACUUGCAAGCUAAUGGGGAGCCCAGGUUGUUGGACAAUUCAACCCCGACUGAUGCAGUGACAAGGGAUGAAACCAGGGGUUGGGCAGGGCAAGACUCUGAUACCCUCUCUGACCUCGGUCCUCUUAAGGCUGUUGGCCCUGUGCCCAGGAAAGGAAUAACUAGAAGUGCUGGUGGAAGAAGGGGGACUUUCCAAAGCAUAAGCUAACUUUUGUUCCCAAACCUUCCCCCUGCUGCUUGAGGCAGAGGAAAUGUGCAAAGGGGCCCGGGAAAGAGGCCCGACCGGAUGGGGCUUCGGCGCCAGGCUGACUUGGAGGGCCAGGGGGUCUCUGAACAAGGGGCUUCUGCUAGAGCAGAGGGGCAUUAGGGAGACCCACCCCUAGCCUAGGGGAAAUGGAGCCUUCAACCCACUGUCCUGAUAAGCAAAGGCUAACAACUCUGUCCCUUGACAGUUUCUCAUCCUCUGGUCUGGGUGGAGAUGGCCUGGCGCGUCCCUGCGGCCUUAUCUCACUUCUCCCUGGGCCUCUCACAAACCUGCCCAGUCACUCAGAGCCUGACUGUCUUCCAUCCCUGGUGUCCCUUGGCCACCCCCUCCCAGGAAAAGUGCUGUAAAAAGAAAAAAGGAGAAUGUUAGAGAGAAAGGAGGAAAUAAAGUCUUUGGAAAGCAGAGUUUUACAACAGCCACAGGUUUUAUGGAAGCAAUUUCGUAAUAACCUUCUACCUGCUCGCCUCCUUUCCGCCUGCCUGCCGCCCACCCCGUUUGGCCUCCUGGAUGCCCCCUCCCAAGGAGUCAGCCACCCCCAUCGCCUUGGAUAUCCUUGAUGGCUGAGAGUUGGUAAGAAGAUUCCUGAGGUGGGCUUGGGCCACUGACCUCUCAGUCCUUCCUUUCACCUCUGACAUCCUGGGAGGGAGGUUUGGCAGAAGAUUUCAUUACUUCACAAUUAAGAUCCCCACUUGGGGGGUGUGGAAGCACCGAGAUUUGAACCUGAGUAUGCAGAUUCGAUGUGAUACCUGUUUUGGAGGCCGUUUUGCAUAAAGGGUAAGGAUUUUGCGAUCUUGUGUCCUUUCCCACUGGGGCAAGUGUCCUCAUGCCUCACUCUUUCCCAGAGUGGGUCUGGACUGUGAUCUUGAGUCUGAAGAAAUACCUCUGGUGCUUGGAGACAUAGAUUUGGGGACUUUUCUAAUUUUGUUGUACACAGCAGUGCUUUUGCUUGACCUCCACAGUCACUUUCACACUCGGCUCAUCUCUGUCCACCUCUGCUUCAUAAUUCUGUGAGACACAUGUGCUUAUAAGUAACUGUGCCUCCACCCCCGCGCUCAUCGCUGUCAUGAAAUAGGCAUCACACAAUGCACACCGUCCCUGCGGUCUUGGGUAAGAAACACAGUAAAGGAUUUUAUGGUCAAACAAAGAAGUCACAAAAUUUCAUAACCUCUUCUGGGCCACUUUGAAGCAUUUAUUUUACCUUCCAGAGAAACAUUUUGGAAAGAAGUUGUCGUAGAAUCAACGUAGUGUU